UCCAUUGCUCCUGAGGACUACAAUUCAUGCGCUUCAUCAGCAUCUCCUCAACCUCUUCUAGCUAUACCAAGCGGUGAAGCAUCAGAUGAAUUGGCGGACAUGGUUUGGACUGCAAAUUCAGAUGAGCAACAACAUCAAAAUACUAACACAAAUAAUGAUGCAUCCUUGGCAAACUCAAGUAGCCGCAAUUCCUCUAAACCGCAAAGCCCGAAAGGCUCCAUUGGAUUAGCUAGUGAUCAGUUUGGCAUUGGCGGAGAUUACUCUCACCAGGGCUACUUCUCAUUACAGGGUUCAAAAUACGAAGAUGGCAACAGUGAGACUGAUAAUUCCAAUGAAAAUCGGCUAGGCAAUUUAGGUUUAGUUCACAAGAUCCCAAUGUUUGCACUUUGGAACGAGUGAGGUAGUGAAUUUCUCAAGAAUUUGAGACACUUAUCAGCGAUAGAGAAGUUUAGUUUUAGUUUCUUCACUAAAGAAAACUGGUUAGAAAGAGGGUAGGAUAUGUAACACAGGAUAUCAUGGAAUUCAAUGGUCUUUAAUUAGUGCUUUAGUUCCGAAUGAAAUUAACUAACUGUUCUCUACCUUAUCAAAAUGUCUAAUACAAAGAUGAGGCAAUUGGUUUGUUAUUUGCUGUCUGACUCUAUUUAUGUAUUUAGUGAUUUUUUUCUUUUGUAACUAGAUAUAUUUUCGGUGUUCUAAUAGUUGAUCAUAAAUGUAUUUCAUUCUGAGUAAAGAAUGAAGUGAACAAUCAUUACAGUUCAUGGUCAAUUCAAACCUUCAUUGCACCAUUAAUACUCCCCCGCAAGGAAUCUAGUAAAGUUGAAAGCGAUGCAACAUUCAUUCAUUGAGCUUGAAAGGAAAGGACAUG
rnacentral:lncRNA from 1 species